rnacentral:rRNA from 1 species
UACAGAGGUCUCAAGCGUUGUUCGGAUUCAUUGGGCGUAAAGGGUGCGUAGGCGGCGCGGUAAGUCGGGUGUGAAAUUUCGAGGCUUAACUUCGAAACUGCAUUCGAUACUGCCGUGCUUGAGGACUGGAGAGGAGACUGGAAUUUACGGUGUAGCGGUGAAAUGCGUAGAUAUCGUAAGGAAGACCAGUGGCGAAGGCGACUUCCUGGCCUGUUCUUGACGCUGAGGCGCGAAAGCUAGGGGAGCAAACGGG